rnacentral:rRNA from 1 species
AGUGAACGCUGGCGGUAGGCCUAACACAUGCGAGUCGAACGGCAGCACAGUAAGAGCUUGCUCUUACGGGUGGCGAGUGGCGGACGGGUGAGGAAUACAUCGGAAUCUACUUUUUCAUGGGGGAUAACGUAGGGAAACUUACGCUAAUACCGCAUACGACCUACGGGUGAAAGCAGGGGAUCUUCGGACCUUGCGCGAUUGAAUGAGCCGAUGUCGGAUUAGCUAGUUGGCGGGGUAAAGGCCCACCAAGGCGACGAUCCGUAGCUGGUCUGAGAGGAUGAUCAGCCACACUGGAACUGAGACACGGUCCAGACUCCUACGGGAGGCAGCAGUGGGGAAUAUUGGACAAUGGGCGCAAGCCUGAUCCAGCCAUACCGCGUGGGUGAAGAAGGCCUUCGGGUUGUAAAGCCCUUUUGUUGGGAAAGAAAAGCAGCGGGUUAAUACCCCGCUGUUCUGACGGUACCCAAAGAAUAAGCACCGGCUAACUUCGUG